GGAGUCAGAGAUUCUACAUCUGCUGCAAGUGAAAGAACAAGAAUGGAAAAGCUUCUGUCAUUCCUUGAAAACUUCAACCAGGUCGCAGGUCCCAAUCAAGCAGAAGCAUGGCUGAACUGGUGCCAAAGAUUAACCAGAUAUCACACUGCAUUGUGGCCUCGCUACAAAGCUAAGCUGUGAGCAGAUGGAGCAAGAGGAGG